CCCGAGAACAAAACCCCGGCGCCCAGGGGCCAAGGAAACAAAACAGAGCAGGGCACGCCCGCCGCCGGUCGCCCGGGGCGGGGUCCCAUGCCGGAUUGCAUCCGAACGACUCUCGGCAACGGAUAUCUCGGCUCUCGCAUCGAUGAAGAACGUAGCGAAAUGCGAUACUUGGUGUGAAUUGCAGAAUCCCGUGAACCAUCGAGUCUUUGAACGCAAGUUGCGCCCGAAGCCGCUAGGCCGAGGGCACGUCUGCCUGGGGUCACGCAGCGUCGCCAACGCCCAACACUCUGGGCGCGGCGGAUGAUGGCCUCCCGGGAGCCUCGCCUCCCGGCUGGCCGAAAGAGGGGCCCAACGUGACGACCGCCACGAUCCACGGUGGUUGAGUGAGAGACUCGCUCGAGGCCAAGCGUGCGCGCGUCGUCUCACGGGGAGGGCCCGCCGGCAGGGGCGUCUGCCCCCCACUCUUACGCGACCCCAGGUCAGGCGGGGCUACCCGCUGAGUUUAAGCAUAUCAAUAAGCGGAGGAAAAGAAACUAACGAGGAUUCCCCUAGUAACGGC
rnacentral:rRNA from 1 species